rnacentral:rRNA from 1 species
ACGGAUGAGAGUUUGAUCCUGGCUCAGAACGAACGCUGGCGGCGUGCUUAACACAUGCAAGUCGGACGGUGAUACAGGGAGGGGCAACCCUUUUUGUAUCAUAGUGGCGGACGGGUG